GCUUGUCUCAAAGAUUAAGCCAUGCAUGUCUUAGUGUAAAUAACUCUUAUGAAACUGCGAAUGGCUCAUUAAAUCAGUUAUCAAAUACGUGAUGGUCGCCUACUACAUGGAUAACCGUAGUAAUUCUAGAGCUAAUACAUGCACAAAGGCCCACUCACGUGGGUUGUGAUUAUUAGAUUCAAACCGGCCUCGUUCUGGUGAUUCAUAAUAACUGAGCGAACCGCAUGCGCAAGCGGCGGUGGUUCAUUCAAGUUUCUGCCCUAUCAGCUUUCGAUGGUAGGGUAUUGGCCUACCAUGGCGUUAACGGGUAACGGAGAAUUAGGGUUCGAUUCCGGAGAGGGAGCCUGAGAAAUGGCUACCACAUCCAAGGAAGGCAGCAGG
rnacentral:rRNA from 1 species